UACGGGGGGGGCAAGCGUUGUUCGGAAUUACUGGGCGUAAAGGGCUCGUAGGCGGCCAACUAAGUCAGACGUGAAAUCCCCAGGCUCAACCUGGGAACUGCGUCUGAUACUGGAUGGCUUGAAUCCGGGAGAGGGAUGCAGAAUUCCAGGUGUAGCGGUGGAAUGCGCAGAUAUCAGGAAGAACACCAACGGCGAAGGCAGCUCGCUGGGACGGUACUGACGCUGAGACGCGAAAGCGUGGGGAGCGAACAGG
rnacentral:rRNA from 1 species